UGUCUUCUUAAUCUUGACAAAGUGUGGAAAGGAAACAAGACUGACAGUUUUGUAAUAGUUUUGUUUGACAUUUUUGUACUGAAUUUAAUGUAAAACCCCAAAAUUACCCUUACCCUUACUUUCCCCGCAAAGAAUCCUUAGAGUAGGUUUAGUAAAUUGGUAACUAUAAUAUAAAUAUGUGACCUUGGGAAGGUCACAACAAAAAAAAAAGGGGGACGAUUGUAGAAAGGAAACAAGACUGACAGUUUGUGGGGGAAGGGCCCAACUGGGAGCAGCAGUUGGGUCUUGUGACUAGCACUUCCUUCCUGCCGGGUAAGGCUUGCGUCCUGGGGUUGGAGGAGAGGGGAGCUUAUUCAGCCCAGUCUGGAGUGGCAUGCUCUUCUUGGUUCAGCCCAAAGACACAGGCUUCUAAAGAAUGGCAUAGCUGUGUAGCCCUGAAAAAUAACUACGACAAACUGAACUGGAAUUCAGAAAUGAAGAACAGAGGGACUCAAGGAAAAGUUUGCUGGCAAUAUACUAAAAAAUAGGCUCUGCUAAGGUUAUAACUGUAGCCACAGAAUAGUCUUUACAGACAAUACAGAAGGAUCUAUUGGUUUGACAUUGGUUAUUUCAUUUAUACCUACACACACAGAUGGAGACUGUUGGAGAAAUUCUAGAAUAUAGAUAUAGAUAUAGAUAUAGAUAUAUGUUUGUGUAUACAUACACACAUAAUAUGUGGAUAUCUAUAUAUACAUACAUAUAUAAUAUAUAACAUAAUAUAUGUGUUUGUGGGUAUAUGUUUAUAUCUAUAGACACCAAUAUAUACUACAUAUUAUGCAUGAUCCUUGGAACUAAUUUUAUCAUUAAUGGCAGAGCACUUAUCUGUAAUGGAAUUUGGAGAUCUAAGCUGUGAGAACUCAUUUGUUUUUUGUCAUGCUCUUCAUUAGUUUAUACUUCUCUGCCCUGAGAAAAUCUAUCCUCACAUUUUCUUUGAAAACUAUUUGCUAAUGGAAUAGAGUUCCCAGUUGUAAACUAUUUGCUAUAGAAUUCAUGCACUUAUGUUUUGUGGGUGAUAGUAGGAGAACAGAGAUAGAAAGAUUUGCUUUCUAAACAUACACACAUAGUGUGUGCAUGUGUAUAUAUACAAAUAUGUAUACUUUUCAUUUUUUUUUACCACUAAUUGUACCCCUUGUUCCAGUUAGUAUGAAUUCUAUGGAGAUUUAAAUAUAUGUUGUUACUCUUGGCAAAAAUUUUCUAGCAUAAUCAUUAAAAUUAUAUGUAACAAUUUCAAAA
rnacentral:lncRNA from 1 species